GCAUGGCUACUCGAGAUCUUUCAUAUCCUUUCAAGAUAAUUUUGGAGAACUGGAUUUUUUACAUGAACUGAGAAUUUAGAUUAUCCCUGCUUCUUUUUUUGGUGGGUUUAAAGAAGCAUGCUGCAGGAUCACUUUGUAUGAAGAGGUCACUUUAUAAUAAGAUCAUAAAUUAAAG